GAGAGGGGAAAAAAAAAAAACAAAACAACUUUAAAGAACUGGUUUAUUUCCAGGCACCUCCUUUGGUAUCUCCAGGCAUCACAUUAGCAUAGAGCUCUCAUUUGCAAACCACACACAUCAGAGACCCUGAGGAUAAACCAGAUGUUGAUCAGAAGAUAUAGUACCAAGUACCACUGCUGUGGUUUUUCAGAAGCCAGGCUCCGUUUAGUCUUCUUCCUCACAUUCAUGUGUGACGCAACACCUGGACUCCUUGGGACAGCUGGCUUAAUAGAAUUGUAAAUGUCACUGUCUUUUUCUCUGCUUGGUUUUAUAUUUGGUUCUUUUAAUAAAACAGCCAUUAUUUGACUCACUCUCUUUGUCUCUCCUUGAUGUUAUAUCUCGUUCUGUUUUAAAAAACAGCCACUGUGACUAUCAGGGCUGAAGCUUCAUCAGGACCUAGAGAAGACAGGCACUCUGUUACAGUGCUGUUUGGGAGAGGUAUGUUUUAACGAGCUUUUAACUUUAAAGUGCUGUCCCCUUCCAGAAGUGCCAUUUCCAGUCAGAUAAAUGGGGGGAAAGGAUCACACACCAGAAAGGAUAUAUAUCCUCACAGUACUUCUUUAAGACUUUUAGAAAGCAUACUAGAAAACACAAAAUAUAUAAUUUAAAAAACCAGGCCCAGCAAGCUCUAACACCUCAUCAAGAGAAAUACCCUGCACUGUAUUCCCAUAGCUCCCUGGCUGUAACACUACAAAACACUGAAUUUUUUAGCCAAAACUUACUAAAAACAAUUGCUGAGAAUACAGAGAUUUGUUUUUUUCGGACCAUUUAAGAUUUUAACAAACGCAAGGCAUUCGAGGGAGCACACGUCUACGAGAACGGAAAUUCUGAUGGAGCUUUGUCUGUCUGGUUCAGUGGUUUCCCAGCAUGUAGAACAAUGCCCAGCAUAAUAGGAAAAUGUUCCCUGGAAUAAUUCUGCUCCCAUGUGUUUCAAGCCAACUUCUCUUUAAUAUAUGGAAUGGCAAAAAACUUAAUAACUCAAACACUCAGGCUAUGGGAUGAAAGAUGCCAGAACCAGAUUGAUGUAUUAAUACCUUCAGUUUCCUUUGGGGUAAAAGGAUUGGAGUGGGAACACUCAUCUCUUGCUGUUUGCAACACUUCUUUCCUCCUGCCUGAAUUUUUCAGGAAGAAAAUGUUUACUCACAUACCUCCACUGUUACACAAGACAGUGGAAGCUGGAGCCAGAGAAAGGCACAGAGAUGGAUUGAAAGCUGGUAGGAAUGGGGUGUGGCAGUUUUAAUAGCAGGGCAGAGGGUAUCUUCAGCGAAGAAAUAAAAGCGGGCAUAAUUACUAGUGGCCAAUUGUAGGAAGUGGUGACUAGGUUUCCACUUUGAGCUCUUUGACUGCAGUGUCUCCUGUUUUGUUCCUGCCAUCUGGGAAGUAAAGGACAUGCUUUAACUGCUGGGAAGCAGGUGCGCAGUCCUCCACAGCUCUGCGAGGUAGAUACUGUCAUCCCCAGUUUACAGAAAGGAAAACAGACUGAGAGUCAAGUACACACGGCUGCCUCCACGUUUUACCGCCUCCAGCCUAAUUCAAAGAAAAGGGGAGAAGGGGCAAGAGCUUCCUGCCUUGGCGACAUGGCCGGCAAAACAGAGAAGCAAGACUCGCCUGUCAGUCCUACCCUGAACACACAUCAAUCAAGUCAACAGGCUUACAAACCUCUGUAAUAUUAUAAGGCCCAUUAACUCACCCUAACUGUAGCCUGAUUUAAUUAAUUGUUUCCACUCUUGGCAUUAACUUCACUGAAAAUAGCAAAAUGCUGAUUGAAAAAACAAGUGUAUCCCUUUUCUUUAGAUAACGUCAGUCACUGUGUACUGAACCAGUACA